rnacentral:lncRNA from 1 species
ACGUGAUUCAACUAUCUCCUUAACCAUAUUGAAAUAUAUUCCUUUCCAGUAAACAUUCACAGGAGACAUCCUACCCUGAAACAACGUACAGAUUUUCUUCAGUUAUAAGGAACGAGUCACCAUUGCACAAGGCUAGAAACAGGUAUUCUGCUGCUACUCAAGGAACAAUAUAUGUGUGGAGGUGGCUAGUUCAAAUCCACCUCUGCAGGCCUUGGGAUUAGCGCCAUGCUACUUGCUUGAUUAAUUGAAUUGAACCACCUGAAUUUUCACCAGGUCUGCUGUGGAAUCUUACAAUCAUUUAUACCUGCCCAAACAACUUGUUCAUCUAUGUCCUUUAUGUAAUAAGUGUGAGUUUAAUUUUCCAUUCACUUUGAAAAAUUCUCUCAUUCUUUAGGUACAAUUUUUUUUC